GUUUUCAUUUUCAACUUUAUAGGUGGGAAGAGCUGGACGGUUUGGUACAAAAGGUCUUGCCAUCACAUUUGUAUCGUCUGCUUCAGACUCCGAUGUCCUCAAUCAGGUUCAGGAGAGGUUUGAAGUGGAUAUAAAAGAGCUUCCUGAGCAAAUUGAUACAUCGACAUACAUGCCUGCUUAGUCCGAGGACAAGGUCUUUCUGGCUGACACAUGCCUCAAUCACGAGAGAAGGGAAGCUGUUCAUCUUUUGGUUAAUAAGCUCCUGUUCUUGUAUGUAUGAACUACUAGUUGGUCGCACGAAAUUGAGGCUCUAGUCUUCUAUGCUUCACUGAGUUUCAAGAUUAUUGUACACCUAAUGGACAACAACUAGGUAUUUAAACCUUAGCAGACAGAUUGUGUUGGCGUGACUCUUCAGUAAUGUCUCAGAAUUUGUUCAAGGCUAGUUCUCAUUUAUAUUAUUUAACUUAGCUGAGGAACUUGUCAAGUUUUCUAUUGGAAGAGUUAUAUCUUGUGCUAUUA